CAAAAACAUGUCCUCUUGAUUAUAUUUUGAGGUCUGGCCUGCUCACUGAUAAAUUUAAAGAGCCGCGGUAUUUUGACCGUGCAAAGGUAGCAUAAUCAUUAGUCUUUUAAUUAAGGGCUGGAAUGAAUGGCUUGACGAGAAAUUAACUGUCUCUUAAUAAUUUAUAAAAUUUAACUUUUGAGUCAAAAGGCUUAAAUUUUUCUUGAGGACGAGAAGACCCUAUAGAGCUUAACAUAUAAUUUAUAUUUAAACAUUAGAUGUUUUUUAUAUAUUUAAUGAUAAUGGUUUGUUGGGGUGACAUGAAGAAUUAAUAAACUCUUCAUUAUAAAAUCAUUAAUUUAAGUUUAUUUGUGAUCCAUAAUUUAUGGUCAUAAGAUUAAGUUACCUUAGGGAUAACAGGGUAAUUGUUUUUGAGAGCUCAAAUCAGCAAAGCAGAUUGCGACCUCGAUGUGGAUUAAGAAAAAUUUUGGGUGC
rnacentral:rRNA from 1 species